AACGGCCGCGGUAUUUUGACCGUGCAAAGGUAGCAUAAUCAUUAGUCUUUUAAUAGAAGGCUGGAAUGAAAGGUCUGACGAAGUAAUGACUGUCUCAUGGUUAAAUUAUUUUAAAAUUUAUCUUUUAGGUCAAAAGACCUAAAUUUUAUUGGAAGACGAGAAGACCCUAUAGAGCUUUAUAACUAUUUUCUUAAUUUUUGUUGGUUAAAUUAUUGUUAAUUAUGGUAUUAGUUAUUUUGUUGGGGUGACAAGAAAUAUAUAUUUAACUUUUAUAUUUAUUUUACAUUUAUGUAUGGCCAUUAGAUCCUUUACUAUUGAUCAUUAGGUUAAGUUACCUUAGGGAUAACAGCGUAAUCCUCUUUUGGAGUUCAAAUUUACAAGGGGGCUUGCGACCUCGAUGUUGGAUUAAGAUAAUAGCUAGGUGUAGUAGCUUGGUUUAUAGGUCUGUUCGAC
rnacentral:rRNA from 1 species